rnacentral:other from 1 species
GGUGAUCUGCGCUUCGCGACAGGGUAAACAAUCCUCGGGGCCUUAUUGAUCCUAUAGGGAGCUGUCCCUGUUAAGGCCCGUGGGCUUUUUCAUACGGCGCCCACCUGUUUAGCAGGUUCCCGGGUCAUAUAUUCCAUCGGUUGCCGUGGACACCGU